UUAACCUACGGGGGGCAGCAGUGAGGAAUAUUGGUCAAUGGGAGAGAUCCUGAACCAGCCAAGCCGCGUGAGGGAAGACGGCCCUAUGGGUUGUAAACCUCUUUUGUCAGGGAGCAACGCCGGCUACGUGUAGCCGGACUGAGAGUACCUGAAGAAAAAGCAUCGGCUAACUCCGUGCCAGCAGCCGCGGUAAUACGGAGGAUGCGAGCGUUAUCCGGAUUUAUUGGGUUUAAAGGGUGCGUAGGCGGAAUGCCAAGUCAGCGGUAAAAUCGCGGGGCUCAACCUCGUUCCGCCGUUGAAACUGG
rnacentral:rRNA from 1 species